rnacentral:tRNA from 1 species
GCCGGGGUAGCUCAGUCGGUAGAGCAGCUGAUUCGUAAUCAGCAGGUCGGGUGUUCGAGUCACCUCCUCGGCA